rnacentral:rRNA from 1 species
AUCACCUUACUGAGACACGGCCCAGACUCCUACGGGAGGCAGCAGUGGGGAAUAUUGCACAAUGGGCGAAAGCCUGAUGCAGCGACGCCGCGUGAGGGAUGACGGCCUUCGGGUUGUAAACCUCUUUCAGUAGGGAAGAAGCGAAAGUGACGGUACCUGCAGAAGAAGCGCCGGCUAACUACGUGCCAGCAGCCGCGGUAAUACGUAGGGCGCAAGCGUUAUCCGGAUUUAUUGGGCGUAAAGAGCUCGUAGGCGGUUUGUCGCGUCUGCCGUGAAAGUCCGAGGCUCAACCUCGGAUCUGCGGUGGGUACGGGCAGACUAGAGUGAUGUAGGGGAGACUGGAAUUCCUGGUGUAGCGGUGAAAUGCGCAGAUAUCAGGAGGAACACCGAUGGCGAAGGCAGGUCUCUGGGCAUCUACUGACGCUGAGGAGCGAAAGCAUGGGGAGCGAACAGGAUUAGAUACCCUGGUAGUCCAUGCCGUAAACGUUGGGCACUAGGUGUGGGGAACAUUCCACGUUUUCCGCGCCGUAGCUAACGCAUUAAGUGCCCCGCCUGGGGAGUACGGCCGCAAGGCUAAAACUCAAAGGAAUUGACGGGGGCCCGCACAAGCGGCGGAGCAUGCGGAUUAAUUCGAUGCAACGCGAAGAACCUUACCAAGGCUUGACAUGUUCCAGACCGCCUCAGAGAUGGGGUUUCCCUUCGGGGCUGGUUCACAGGUGGUGCAUGGUUGUCGUCAGCUCGUGUCGUGAGAUGUUGGGUUAAGUCCCGCAACGAGCGCAACCCUCGUUCCAUGUUGCCAGCACGUAAAGGUGGGGACUCAUGGAACUGCCGGGGUCAACUCGGAGGAGGUGGGGACGACGAAGGGCGAAUUCGUU